rnacentral:misc_RNA from 1 species
AAAAUGCGAUACGUAAUGUGAAUUGCAGAUUUCAGUGAAUCAUCAAAUCUUUGAACGCAACUUGCGCUUAAGAUGAAUAAUUUUAAGCAUACUUGUUUGAGUGUUGGGUUUAUACUUUAAUUUUAAAAAAAUAUAUAUUUUGAGUAUCCAUUUUAUAUAUUCUCUUUGUAGUUUAAUAAAAUUGUUACUUUAAAAAGAAUCAUUGAAAACAUUUCUUUCUACUUUUUAUAUGUAGUAAAAUCUUCAUUUAAUAAAUUGAUAAAAUGAUUUUUCUAAUAAUUUCUCUUUUAUUUUUCAACCUCAAAUCAAGUAAGAUUACCGGCUGAACUUAA